AACAGAGCACCUCUUUCAGACACCUCCACCUCAGCCAAUGGGAUGUUUGCAGUGCCCUGGCAAAAUUUCACAUAUCUGAUCAGUGUUUCAGUCGGAGCGAAUCCCUCUUCAGACGCUCUUCACUCUCUCCAGUGUGUUUGACAGAUCUGAACACACACACACACACACACGGACGACCUUAUCCAGCAGUGUCUCUGAUCAGUGUUUUGACUUCAUCCUUCAGUCCAGCCAGUUACAGCAACAGACAUGGGAUCAUUGUUGUCUUCAGGACCAGAGAUGCCUCAACCGGAAUUCAAAGAUCUUUGUGACGAACUCCAACGGCACAUUGAUGAACUGAACAGAAAUUAUCAAACUCUCACUGCUGAAAUACAGAAACCUGAACUUGAUUUAGUUCAGACUGGUGGCGCUGUUAGAAAAGUACAAUUAAGCAUGGACAAGAUGAUUAAGGAUCUGACAAAUAAUCAUCAAAAUAAUGAAAUACAGAAUAGAGUGAAAUCUGUGAUGAAGAAAAUGGAAAAAACUCUCGAACUGCAUAAGAAACUAAACGGCUCAAUCGAUACUCUAUUGCGAAGUCUUAACAAUUACAAAGUCAACGGACAACACGAGUCAAAAGCAGGAGAAAUCAGAUCAGAAACUUCGAAAUUGAGUCCUCAGAUGAAAGAAAUAGCAGCUCAAUUUCAGAAGAUUCUGGAAGAAAUUAAACAUGGCUAAAAAUAAAUUAACAAAUUCAUUUAAAAUCUGUUUAGAAAUGAUUGGACUGAUCUGUGUGGUUUUAUCAUCAAUAAUACAGUCAAAGCGAAUCCCUCUAAUCUGACAUCUUUACAAAUGUGUGCAUUUAAUGAUGUAUAAAUCAUGCAGAAAGUGUUCAGUCUUUCAAAGCAGUGAAUUCUGAAUUAUA